CUGCUCUAACACUGCACUGCACUCGUAACACAGUCGGUCUUAAUGCAGAAAACAAAGGCGAGUAUUUAACCAGUUCCAUCUGCUUGUUCACUUCCUCGCGAGUAUAUUAGGUCGUCAAAAAGACAAGUGUAUCUGGCUACUGUGGAUCUAGAGGGCCUCACCCCUUUCUCCUGUUCUCCUCUCCUCUUCACUGCAUCCCUCCAUCCCUCGUUCUUCAGCCUCUCCAUCAUUCCUCCUCCAUCUCACUUGAUUGAUUGCAUCAAUCUGCUGCUCAUCCCUCUCUCCUCCAGAAGGAGUUUCUCAUCCUUUCUCACCGUCACUCGUUUUAUUUUCCCUGCUUGUAGAGCUGUUAACCCCUUAAAAGGACCUAAGGUUGUUACUAAAUAAUUACAUUUUUAAACAGUAUAAAUAUACUAUACUAACAAUAAUAACAACAUCAAU